GGGCUGAUGGUCUAGGGGUAUGAUUCUCGCUUAGGGUGCGAGAGGUCCCGGGUUCAAAUCCCGGUCAGGCCCA